rnacentral:rRNA from 1 species
ACGAACGCUGGCGGCGUGCUUAACACCUGCAAGUCGAACGGAAAGGCCCUGCUUUUGUGGGGUGCUCGAGUGGCGAACGGGUGAGUAACACGUGAGUAACCUGCCCUUGACUUUGGGAUAACUUCAGGAAACUGGGGCUAAUACCGGAUAGGAGCUCCUGCUGCAUGGUGGGGGUUGGAAAGUUUCGGCGGUUGGGGAUGGACUCGCGGCUUAUCAGCUUGUUGGUGGGGUAGUGGCUUACCAAGGCUUUGACGGGUAGCCGGCCUGAGAGGGUGACCGGCCACAUUGGGACUGAGAUACGGCCCAGACUCCUACGGGAGUCAGCAGUGGGGAAUAUUGCACAAUGGGCGGAAGCCUGAUGCAGCAACGCCGCGUGCGGGAUGACGGCCUUCGGGUUGUAAACCGCUUUCGCCUGUGACGAAGCGUGAGUGACGGUAAUGGGUAAAGAAGCACCGGCUAACUACGUG